AGGGUUUGAUCAUGGCUCAGAACGUACGCUGGCGGCACGCCUAACACAUGCAAGUCGAACGAAGUAGCAAUACUUAGUGGCAGACGGGUGAGUAACAUGUAGGUAUCUGCCCUUUGGCCUGGAAUAACACGAGGAAACUUGUGCUAAUACCGGAUAAGUCUUUACAGAGAAAGCUUUAUGCACCAUUGGAUGAGCCUGCACUUGAUUAGUUUGUUGGUGGGGUAAUGGCCUACCAAGACUGUGAUCAAUAGCUGAUUUGAGAGGAUGAUCAGCCACAUUGGGACUGAGACACGGCCCAAACUCCUACGGGAGGCAGCAGUGGGGAAUCUUGCACAAUGGAGGAAACUCUGAUGCAGCGAUGCCGCGUGAGUGAAGAAGGCCCUUGGGUUGUAAAGCUCUUUCGUCGGGGAAGAAAAUGACUGUACCCGAAUAAGAAGGUCCGGCUAACUUCGUGCCAGCAGCCGCGGUAAUACGAAGGGACCUAGCGUAGUUCGGAAUUACUGGGCUUAAAGAGUUCGUAGGUGGUUGAAAAAGUUAGUGGUGAAAUCCCAGAGCUUAACUCUGGAACUGCCAUUAAAACUUUUCAGCUAGAGUAUGAUAGAGGAAAGCAGAAUUUCUAGUGUAGAGGUGAAAUUCGUAGAUAUUAGAAAGAAUACCAAUUGCGAAGGCAGCUUUCUGGAUCAUUACUGACACUGAGGAACGAAAGCAUGGGUAGCGAAGAGGAUUAGAUACCCUCGUAGUCCAUGCCGUAAACGAUGUGUGUUAGACGUUGGAAAUUUAUUUUCAGUGUCGCAGGGAAACCGAUAAACACACCGCCUGGGGAGUACGACCGCAAGGUUAAAACUCAAAUGAAUUGACGGGGACCCGCACAAGUAGUGGAGCAUGUGGUUUAAUUCGAAGAUACGCGCAGAACCUUACCAACACUUGACAUGUUCGUCGCGACUCUAAGAGAUUAGAGUUUUCGGUUCGGCCGGACGAAACACAGGUGCUGCAUGGCUGUCGUCAGCUCGUGUCGUGAGAUGUUGGGUUAAGUCCCGCAACGAGCGCAACCCUCGCCUUUAGUUACCAUCAUUUGGUUGGGUACUCUAAAGGAACCGCCGGUGAUAAGCCGGAGGAAGGUGGGGAUGACGUCAAGUCCUCAUGGCCCUUACGCGCUGGGCUACACACGUGCUACAAUGGCAACUACAGUGGGCAGCGACCCUGCGAGGGCGAGCUAAUCCCCAAAAGUUGUCUCAGUUCGGAUUGUUCUCUGCAACUCGAGAGCAUGAAGGCGGAAUCGCUAGUAAUCGCGGAUCAGCAUGCCGCGGUGAAUACGUUCCCAGGCCUUGUACACACCGCCCGUCACACCAUGGGAGUUGGAUUCACCCGAAGGC
rnacentral:rRNA from 1 species